GGGGAAUUUUGGACAAUGGGGGCAACCCUGAUCCAGCCAUUCCGCGUGAGUGAAGAAGGCCUUCGGGUUGUAAAGCUCUUUCAGCUGGAGUGAAACGGUAAGCGCUAAUAUCGCUUGCUAAUGACGGUACCAGCAGAAGAAGCACCGGCUAACUACGUGCCAGCAGCCGCGGUAAUACGUAGGGUGCGAGCGUUAAUCGGAAUUACUGGGCGUAAAGCGUGCGCAGGCGGAUUGUUAAGCAAGACGUGAAAUCCCCGGGCUUAACCUGGGAAUGGCGUUUUGAACUGGCAGUCUAGAGUGUGUCAGAGGGGGGUGGAAUUCCACGUGUAGCAGUGAAAUGCGUAGAGAUGUGGAGGAACACCAAUGGCGAAGGCAGCCCCCUGGGAUAACACUGACGCUCAUGUACGAAAGCGUGGGUAGCAAAC
rnacentral:rRNA from 1 species